rnacentral:rRNA from 1 species
CUACGGGAGGCAGCAGUAAGGAAUAUUGGUCAAUGGGCGCAAGCCUGAACCAGCCAUGCCGCGUGAAGGAUGACGGCCCUAUGGGUUGUAAACUUCUUUUGUACGGGAAAAAACCUCUGGUCGUGAAUCAGAGCUGAUGGUACCGUAAGAAUAAGCAUCGGCUAACUCCGUGCCAGCAGCCGCGGUAAUACGGAGGAUGCAAGCGUUAUCCGGAUUCAUUGGGUUUAAAGGGUGCGCAGGCGGAAUAAUAAGUCAGCGGUGAAAGCCUACAGCUUAACUGUAGAACUGCCAUUGAUACUGUUAUUCUUGAGUGUUGUUGAGGUAGGCGGAAUGUGUCAUGUAGCGGUGAAAUGCUUAGAUAUGACACAGAACACCGAUCGCGAAGGCAGCUUACCAAGCAACAACUGACGCUCAUGCACGAAAGCGUGGGGAUCAAACAGGAUUAGAAACCCCAGUAGUCCC